rnacentral:rRNA from 1 species
CUGACGGAGCAAUACCGCGUGAGGGAAGACUGCCUAUGGGUUGUAAACCUCUUUUUUCAGGGAGGAAUAAAAUGACGUGUACCUGAAGAAUAAGCAUCGGCUAACUCCGUGCCAGCAGCCGCGGUAAGACGGAGGAUGCAAGUGUUAUCCGGAAUCACUGGGCGUAAAGCGUCUGUAGGUGGUUUAAUAAGUCAACUGUUAAAUCUUGAGGCUCAACCUCAAAAUCGCAGUCGAAACUAUUAGACUAGAGUAUAGUAGAGGUAAAGGGAAUUUCCAGUGGAGCGGUGAAAUGCGUAGAUAUUGGAAAGAACACCGAUGGCGAAAGCACUUUACUGGGCUAUUACUAACACUCANAGACGAAAGCUAGGGUAGCAAAUGGGAUUAGAUACCCCAGUAGUCCUAGCCGUAAACAAUGGAUACUAGAUGUUGAACAGAUCGACCUGUGCAGUAUCAAAGCUAACGCGUUAAGUAUCCCGCCUGG